rnacentral:rRNA from 1 species
UACGGAGGGUGCAAGCGUUAUCCGGAUUCACUGGGUUUAAAGGGUGCGUAGGUGGGCAGGUAAGUCAGUGGUGAAAUCUCUGGGCUUAACCCGGAACGGUCAGCUGAUACUGCGGGGCUAGAGUGCAGAAGGGGCAACUGGAAUUCUCGGUGUAGCGGUGAAAUGCGUAGAUAUCGAGAGGAACACCUGCGGCGAAGGCGGGUUGCUGGGCUGACACUGACGCUGACAGCGCGAAAGCUAGGGGAGCGAACGGG